rnacentral:snoRNA from 1 species
CCAUUAGAUGAAGAAGAUCUAGUUGCUUACAUAAUAAAUGGUCUUGAUGCAGAUUAUGAUCCUGUUGUAGAGGCACUGGUGGCUAAAUCUAAGCCGGUCACCGUGUCUCAACUUUACUCACAGCUUCUGAACUUUGAGA